ACGUGCCCAGUCGUGGGGGAUAACGUAGCGAAAGUUACGCUAAUACCGCAUACGAUCUACGGAUGAAAGCGGGGGACUCGUAAGAGCCUCGCGCGAUUGGAGCGGCCGAUAUCAGAUUAGGUAGUUGGUGGGGUAAAGGCUCACCAAGCCAACGAUCUGUAGCUGGUCUGAGAGGACGACCAGCCACACUGGAACUGAGACACGGUCCAGACUCCUACGGGAGGCAGCAGUGGGGAAUUUUGGACAAUGGACGCAAGUCUGAUCCAGCCAUUCCGCGUGCAGGAUGAAGGCCCUCGGGUUGUAAACUGCUUUUGUACGGAACGAAAAGACUCUGGUUAAUACCUGGGGUCCAUGACGGUACCGUAAGAAUAAGCACCGGCUAACUACGUG
rnacentral:rRNA from 1 species